ensembl:lncRNA
AUGUUUCUAAGCCCACGUUAUGUUUUAAUGGUGAUGCUUGUAAAAACUCAAACUUCCUUUCCAAAACCCGCUUCGUUCCGUGGUUUGUUUCAUCAGGGCACAGGUCAGGGAUGGAGGACAAUUCAGCUUUGCAGCUCAGAAGGUCGAUACCCCAAUUCUGCCCCCAGCCCUGCCACUGACUCAUCCCAUGCCCUCGAUUCUUGGUGUGAGCCUGAUCUUCCAAUCUGUGAGAAAUCCCUGCUGUGCCCUCAGAGCCGCGUUCUGGGCGAAGUGUGGGAGAACAACAAGCAGCAGCUGGUGCCUUCCACUCGUGCUCCCAGAAGAAGCACAAAGACACCUUUGGAGACACUACAGGACAAAGAAUUGGGAAGAAAAGGUAAAGCUGGGGGCUGUUCCAGGAGCCCAAGUGUCACAGCUGGGCUCCCUGGGAUGGGUGAGGACGGGGGGUCCCUGGAGGAGGGAAGAGGGGCUGGCAGCUCAGGCUGCACGUGCCUGCAGAGCAGGAGGUGCUCAACUCCCACCAGGAAUCCAGUGCCUUGCCCGAACGCCUCCAUCACUAAUCUAAAAUUUGUCUGCCUUCUGCAUUUGAUCUCCUCAUUUUCCUCUUCUAUGCCUUUUUAAUGCUGUUUGUAGCCUUUUCAAUUAUGUGAUUUCCUUAUCUGUGUACCAUGGAGAAUACUGUACAAGGCUUUAUAAACAGCUCCUAAGUUUAUCUGCCUGUCAUUUGCUUUUCAUUAUGCGAGAUAACAAUCUUCCUCAUAUCUUAUAAGAAGAUAGAAUGUGAUUGUUUUGAAAUGGGGAGGGGGGAAAAAGUCUACUCUGCAUUAUCCUCAGCCCCGUAGCGUUUGGAACGUCACCAGUGUCAGCACAAUCGCCAACAUUUUUCCUUGCUGUGGUCCAGGAAGAAUUAUCUCCGUAGUUUUUUUGUGCUUGCUGCUAUCUCCUCUUUUUCUCCAUUUUAGACACAGAGAGGUUCUUAUCUGGAGCGUGGUUCUGCAGCUACAGAUUUGCCUAAAUUCAGUGUGAUGGCUCCAAACCCUUUGGUGGAGCUCGUGCACCGAGGGGAAGGGUGAGAGGCAAUUGUCAGCAGCUCGCUGGAUUAAAUACGGACAGAUAUUAUUCAUGUCAUUUGACAGUUCCUGACUUUCAGCUGUAUAAUGACAGAGCAACAGUAGGAAUUCCAGCAGCCCAGCUUCUGUCUUACUUCAAGAUAAGCUUAUCAAGCGUAGCCUGAAUCCAUCCAGCUCCUCAGCAGAUCAGAACUCGUGUCAGGCUGAACGGCCCUGCCGAUUCCUGCCUCCUCCCCUGCUCUGAUUUUUCCCAUCUCACGCUGCCUUGCAGGGUUUUUAGCAGAGCCUGUGCCUUGCCUGUGCUCAGCUCCUUGUCCAGGAGCCUCCUGGUGCCCCUGAGUGCCCCAGGAACAGGAACAGGGAAGGAAGGGACCGGGUGAUGGUCAGCCCCGGUGGGGUUUGCUCUCUUCAUCCAUUCCUUGGUCUACAAAGAGCAGCUGCUUUGUUUGGCUUCUUAAGGUGAAAAAGCCAGCCUGAGGUUUCUGCUGUGCUUUUAUCCCAGGGGUUCAGAGGGAUCUCUGAACAAUGCAGGAAUCACAGCUGUCCCUGCA